rnacentral:rRNA from 1 species
UACGGGGGGGGCAAGCGUUGUUCGGAAUUACUGGGCGUAAAGGGCGCGUAGGCGGCCUGCUAAGUCGGACGUGAAAUCCCUCGGCUCAACCGGGGAACUGCGUCCGAUACUGGCGAGGCUUGAAUCCGGGAGAGGGAUGUGGAAUUCCAGGUGUAGCGGUGAAAUGCGUAGAUAUCUGGAGGAAUACCGGUGGCGAAGGCGGCAUCCUGGACCGACAUUGACGCUGAGGAGCGAAAGCUAGGGGAGCAAACAGG